rnacentral:rRNA from 1 species
GAAGAAAGCUGGAGGCGUGCCUAAUACAUGCAAGUUGAGCGCUGAAGGUUGGUACUUGUACCAACUGGAUGAGCAGCGAACGGGUGAGUAACGCGUGGGGAAUCUGCCUUUGAGCGGGGGACAACAUUUGGAAACGAAUGCUAAUACCGCAUAAAAACUUUAAACACAAGUUUUAAGUUUGAAAGAUGCAAUUGCAUCACUCAAAGAUGAUCCCGCGUUGUAUUAGCUAGUUGGUGAGGUAAAGGCUCACCAAGGCGAUGAUACAUAGCCGACCUGAGAGGGUGAUCGGCCACAUUGGGACUGAGACACGGCCCAAACUCCUACGGGAGGCAGCAGUAGGGAAUCUUCGGCAAUGGACGAAAGUCUGACCGAGCAACGCCGCGUGAGUGAAGAAGGUUUUCGGAUCGUAAAACUCUGUUGGUAGAGAAGAACGUUGGUGAGAGUGGAAAGCUCAUCAAGUGACGGUAACUACCCAGAAAGGGACGGCUAACUACGUG